AUCAGAUACACUGUGGAAGGAAGAGU
rnacentral:piRNA from 1 species